UACAGAGACUGCAAGCGUUAUUCGGAUUCACUGGGCGUAAAGGGUGCGCAGGCGGCCAAGUGUGUCAGGUGUGAAAUCCCGAGGCUUAACCUCGGAACUGCGCCUGAAACUACUUGGCUAGAGUACUGGAGAGGGUAACGGAAUUCACGGUGUAGCAGUGAAAUGCGUAGAUAUCGUGAGGAACACCAGAGGCGAAGGCGGUUACCUGGACAGUUACCGACGCUCAGGCACGAAAGCGUGGGGAGCAAAAGGG
rnacentral:rRNA from 1 species